GUCAAUCGUAUAUUAUAAGUCUACUUUCAGUCAUGGGGCCGAGGCCUUCCCGAUUAUCCAGUAAGUUGCCUCUGGUUCUCCGACCUGUCCGACUCGCGCAGCAAGAAGGCCCUGCCCCCUCGCGCCGAUAUUGCGCUUACCUCGCGGUGCAGUGGGUGACCUACCUGCGUAAGGAUACAAGGGGCCUCGGUGCAACAACCUCUUGCCGACCGCCAGCGCCUGCGGUCCAAGUCAGGCGCUUUGCAGUACACCCAAAGGCUGGACAGUGCCGUUGGAGCGGCCAAGGGAGCGGCCUGGUGGCUGACUCGAGCAGACAAAGCGUCGCGGCGCCAUUCGUACAUGCUAGCGUCGCGGCGCCUGUUGAUCUAAGGAGCAAGAGGCUAAUUCCCGCUGGCCGCCUGUCCGCGUCGGAGUCGGUUGCGCUAUCGCCUCGACAUACUCGUCGCCCCAGCGGGCGUUCCAUCGAAGGUUCAUCCCUGAGCUCGGCCACGGUGCUGUUGUCGUGUCAUUCUGCCGGCUUUGAAUGUCUUCGCCAUCGGUCACACCACUCCGGCGAAAUGCCAUGCCAG
rnacentral:lncRNA from 1 species